CACAAUAAAGAAAAUUAAUUAUGAAUCAAUUUAAAUUAAGAAAUGAACAUCUAAAUAUUGCUCCCAGUGUUGUUCAAAGCUUAUUUUCUUGAUCUGACUAAUCGCUCCUGCCUCUUUGUGAACGAGAGGAAUCAUUAACUGUGGUUCGUUGGUUAUGUUUGCCUGCUUCCCCUGGAUCUUCCUCCCUGAUUUGCUUUUCAGCAGCACAUUCACCAUUCUCUCAAACGGCUAAUUCCCCUUCUCGCUGAACAGGCCGAGGGCGACUUGAAACUAAAUACCCCAACUAGCAGAUAGCUCUGCUGACAAUCUGAUGGCGAGAUGCCGAACAAAAGGCAUUUUCUUUUGUCUCUCUCUCAACUCCGGUCGCUUCUACAGACAUCCACCAAACAAAAACAUCACUCUCGGAGAAUGAGUGCACAAACUGAUGGACUGAGGUGAAUUAACCUACAGCAGCCAAGGUGAUAUUGGACUGAGGUGAGAUAAACCUCAGCAGCCAAGGUGAUAAUGGACUGAGGUGAGAAAACCAUCAGCAGCCAAGGUGAUAAUGGACUGAGGUGAGAUAAACCUCAGCAGCCAAGGUGAUAAUGGACUGAGGUGAGAAAACCAUCAGCAGCCAAGGUGAUAACGGACUGAGGUGAAAUAACCCUCAGCAGCCAAGGUGAUAACGGACUGAGGUGAAAUAACCCUCAGCAGCCAAGGUGAUAACGGCUGGGGUCAUUUUUGCUUGUUUUUUUCUGUUUUCCAAAUACCAUUUAAAAGUGUUUUAGUUGUGUAGAAAUGCAGUAAAUGAGAUUCAACU